GCGAAAUUCAUAGUUUCCCAAACUUACACAGCCUCGAACCUCAAACUGCCAGCAACAUGAACUCCACCUUCGAUCGACAACUACUUCAUCUCCUCAAACCUCAAACUACUACAUCAUCAUCUCUCUAAUCUCUUCUUUCCACUUCUCUACCCCAGCAGCCCAGUCUCAAAAUCAUCCUAAAUCACCAGCACCAAACUCCUUCAUCUUGGGUUUUCGAUCGAUCAGGUAAAGUUUUAAUUUUUCUCUUCUUUUCUUUUUAUAAUUUGAUUUUUUUCAAUGGGUAUUCUCAAUUUUCAAUUGUAAUUGUGUUUUGAUUACAAUAUACCAGUUGAGACGAUGGGUUCUUAUACUGGUAAGAAAACAAUGGAUAAUUGUUUGAGAUAUGAAUUCUUGAUUGCUGUUGACUUUUCAAUUUCAGUGUUGUUAAUUUUUGAGAUAUCAUCUCUCCGAUUUUGGUUUUAUAUUAAUUGAGUUUUUGUUUUUGUUUUCUCACCCAUUUAGAAUAUUACCCGUUAUGCAAAGUCUUUAUAGUUAUAGUUCAACCUUUUUACCAGUUAACUUGUAGGGUGACUAGCUUGUUUAUUGGUUUCCAAUUCUAACUUAUGACUAGCGUGAUCUUGAAGAUAUUGUUUUUUAGUAGUCCGGUCGAAUCAAGUUUUCAACCUAGUUGCUUUCAUUAGCUCGAUCGGUCUAACAUGUUAACGAGUAAUGUCUAGACGACAUGGACAGACUUAUGAGUGUGGCCUGCAGGUUUUGCUUCUAUAUUUUCCUGUUAUCUUGGGUAAAUGGGUAAAACUUAAUUACAGUUAUUAUGCAUUCCUUGUUAUAAGCAACAUGCAUGGUUGAAGUUGAAAUUAAUCUAAGAACGAUUCUUUAAGCAACCAUCCAAACAUUGUUCAUGAAUUGUUAAUGUAAGAUUUUCUAUGAUCAUUAAUUCUAGAUUGAAUUCAUUGUAGAGCAGAGCGAGUGGAAGCGAUCACUCCCCUCAUUUUCUACAUGUGACCGAAGUUUACCGAUUCAUUUUUCGUUUCAGAAUGUAUGUUUUAUUCGAGUAUAAACAUAUUGAUGCUCCAUAGAUUGUCUAAAACAAAUUGAAAUUGGCACGUCUUGUUUAUUUAACAUAUGCACGUCUUGAUGGAAUUGUUGGGGGUGGUUGAGUUUUAUGUAGAGAGAUGAGCCCAGGUUUAAAUAUAUUUGAAUUUCAUGUGGUGGGUAGUGAUGGCUUCAGGAACUAAUUGUUAAUAUAGGGAAGUGACUGUAAGUGGUUCUUUAUAUAUAUUACUUGGACUUCUAAUAACCAGAGGAAAGGUUAUUGAGAGGUAUGGGGUUCUAGGAUACAGUUUUGUAUGGAAAAUCCAAAGCAUUACUUUGUGCUAAGCAGAAACAUAAAAUUGUUCUCAUGGUCUCAAUUGUCACUCGUACUAUUUUCAAUCUAUGUUGAAGUUUACAGUUUGUGUCUUUAUAUAUUCCAUGAAAAAGGGAAGCAGAAUCGCAUCAGAAAGCAUUAUCCGGAUUGGAUACUAGUGAUUGUUGAAAGUGCUGAAAAGAGUGAUGCAACUGAUCGAUAUUGAGAAGAACAAGUUUUGUUGAGCUCACUUCAAUCCAAAGUUGCUUUAGUAUUACACAAAAGGUGUCGAGAAAGGUAAAAAUGUGUCUUUUGUUGAGAAUUGGAGCACUAUGCAUCAACAUCAUGACGGUCAGUGGAUCAACGAAGCAGCUGAACAAACUGGGGUUAGCUUUUGUUAUAAAGAUUUUCAAUAGUUGGAUAUCUUGGCAAAUGGCGUUGGGGUUGCAAAGGGUAGAGGCAUUCGGGGUCUGGGCUAUGGUCCACGGAAGGAACCCGUCCAUUAUUCUGAGAGUGAUAAAUCUGCAAAUGCUUCUAUGACAGAACAAAAGGUAAUUGAGCUGACAGCCACGGUGGAAAAGCUUUUGAGGCAUAUCAAUCACAUAGAAGAGCAACUUGCUACUGUUGAAGGGUAUACUAUUCAUCAUUCCAGUGAUGAUGAUGAUUAUGAUGAUUAUGAUGAUGGGGAUGAUGAUGAUGUGAAUAUCUAUGGGGAUGAAGAUGAGGGUGCAGACUAGCUAUUAGGACCUUAAUGUUGUUUUCCGAUGGAACUUUAGUUUUAUAUUAUUAAAACUAGAAAACUUGAUUUCGCUAGCUACUGUCUAUGUAGAAGUGUAGAAACGCAAAACUUCACUUUCUCAGUUAUGUACUAUCUUUCAUUUAUUCAAUGCAAU